rnacentral:rRNA from 1 species
UACAGGCUUAACACAUGCAAGUCGAGGGGCAGCAUUGGAGUAGCAAUACUCAGAUGGCGACCGGCGCACGGGUGAGUAACACGUAUCCAACCUGCCGCUUACUCGGGGAUAGCCUCUCGAAAGAAAGAUUAAUACCCGAUGGUAUAAAGAGUUCGCAUGUUCUCUUUAUUAAAGAAUUUCGGUAAGCGAUGGGGAUGCGUUCCAUUAGAUAGUUGGCGGGGUAACGGCCCACCAAGUCUACGAUGGAUAGGGGUUCUGAGAGGAAGGUCCCCCCACAUUGGAACUGAGACACGGUCCAAACUCCUACGGGAGGCAGCAGUGAGGAAUAUUGGUCAAUGGACGAGAGUCUGAACCAGACCCAAGUAGCGUGAAGGAUGACUGCCCUAUGGGUUGUAAACUUCUUUUAUAAGGGAAUAAAGUGAGGGACGUGUCCCUUUUUGUAUGUACCUUAUGAAUAAGGAUCGGCUAACUCCGUGCCAGCCGCCGC